rnacentral:lncRNA from 1 species
UUUAGGCAAGCUAGUUAAAUAUUGGGCAAACAAGAUAGUAAACAGGAACAAGAUUGGAACUCAUAAUCAAUGAACUAAAACAACAAUGAAACACAUAGAGUUUUAGACUUCGAAAUUAAAUUAGGACAUACCAGUUAAGGAGAGAAAACACAGGGUGUAUAGCAGAUAUUGUGCAAUUGAUAGCCUUGGCUUACAACCGGCUAUAUCAAUGAAGAUUGCAAGUAAUAGAGAAGACCGGAGAGCUUUUAAGUGUAAAAGUGUUUUUGAACUAAUAUUCCUUCCAGAAGUGAGAAUAGAGGAGAGUAUAUAAAAUAGCCAUGGGCCAAACAGAAUAAGGUAAAGAGAUCAAUCAUUCAAUAAUUAAGGGAAGUUAAAGAAUAAAUUAUGCUCGAAAUCAGUAAAGUCUCCCCUAAUUAAGAGUUAAUUACCCAACGGUAAAGGACGGGACAGUAUUUAAGGAAAGAAAAUCAAGCAAUACUUAAGCACAUAAUGGGAAAGUAGGGGUAAAUAAAUAGGGAUUCAAUUAAGGAAACAAUCUUGAGGAAUUAAAUAAGGCAAGAAAAUAAUUAAAAGGUGUAAAAUAGGAAAAUAAUCAAGAAUCGCACAUAGGCAUUAAUAGAGCAAAUCAGUGAAUCAAAACUAAAAAAUAAUACUUAUUUAAAAGAGAAUAAUAUAGGUUUGCAUGAAUAAACAAACAUGACAAGUAUAAACACACAGAAUUAGUCAAGAAUCAAAUCAGAAAUCCUAAUAGAGACAUACUAUGGUAAAAAGCACAAGAUCUCGAAUAAGGAUAAAGGAAAUCAUGAGAAUCAAAACACAAAACAAAAUAUUGUGGCAAGUAACAUGAACAGACUCAAAGCCAAAGCAAAAAUGUCACAAAAUUAGGGUUUUAGUAUAAACUAAUUAGUGUUGAGUCAAGCUCAACAUAAAUCGGUCAAAACUCAUAAGAAUAGGAGAUUAAACAAUCAAAGUCAAAAAAUAUUUUAGAGAAAAGAUUUUCAAGAAACUCUACCUUUAGGAAAUUGGAAAUUUACUUAGAAAACCAAAAGAGUUUCAUAAAAAAUAUGCUAAAUAGGACAGAUUCUUCUUAAAUCCGUACAUAUCUUAUAAGAUCGAAGGACGAAAAUAAGGGUUUUCAUAAUUGACACAAAGAUGAAGACAUAGGGUUAGAAAUCCAUAGAUUUAAGGUGAAAUAAGAAGUUCACUCGAAAUCGAAUAAGAAUGGCCUGAAACAGGCAAAAAAAAAAACCAUAGGCGUAAGAAGACUAGCCUUGGUCCCAGGACCUUAGAGACGGAGAUACCCAGUGUAGGAGAGGCCAUUAGAAGAUCGAGGUGGUGAAGAACCCCCAUGAACGGCGGUAGAUGAGUGAUGGCGGGGCGGGGGGAGAACUAGGGUUAAGGCUAGAGAGAAUCUGAGAGAUGGAGAGGAGAGUGACGAUGGGGAGGAGUGAGAAGUGAUGUGAGUUUGGAG